AGAGUUUGAUCAUGGCUCAGGAUGAACGCUAGCGGGAGGCUUAACACAUGCAAGUCGAGGGGCAGCACGAGGUAGCAAUACUUUGGUGGCGACCGGCGCACGGGUGAGUAACGCGUAUGUAACCUACCCUGUACAGGGGGAUAACCCGGAGAAAUUCGGACUAAUAUCCCAUAAAGAUAUUGGAGGGCAUCCUUUGAUAUUUAAAGCUCAGGCGGUACGGGAUGGGCAUGCGUAACAUUAGCUAGUUGGUAGGGUAACGGCCUACCAAGGCUACGAUGUUUAGGGGUCCUGAGAGGGUGAUCCCCCACACUGGUACUGAGACACGGACCAGACUCCUACGGGAGGCAGCAGUGAGGAAUAUUGGUCAAUGGGCGCAAGCCUGAACCAGCCAUCCCGCGUGCAGGAAGACGGCCCUAUGGGUUGUAAACUGCUUUUCCAGGGGGUGAAACUCCCGUACGUGUACGGGACUGACGGUACCUUGGGAAUAAGCAUCGGCUAACUCCGUGCCAGCAGCCGCGGUAAUACGGAGGAUGCGAGCGUUAUCCGGAUUUAUUGGGUUUAAAGGGUGCGUAGGCGGAUUAAUAAGUCAGUGGUGAAAUCCUGCAGCUUAACUGUGGAACUGCCAUUUGAUACUGUUAGUCUUGAGUAUGGUCAAGGUAGGCGGGAAUGUGUAAUGUAGCGGUGAAAUGCUUAGAUAUUACACAGAACACCGAUUGCGAAGGCAGCUUACUGGGCCAUUACUGACGCUGAUGCACGAAAGCGUGGGGAUCGAACAGGGUUAGAUACCCUGGGUAGCCCACGGCCGUAAACGAUGAUCACUCGCUGUUAGCGAUACACAGUUAGCC
rnacentral:rRNA from 1 species